GCUAAUGAUGAUAAUGAUGAUAAUGAUAAAGGUGAUAAUGCUGAUGGUGAUAAUGCUAAUGGUAAUAGUGAUAACAAUAAUGAUAAAGAUUAUAAGGCUAAUGACGAAAGUGAUCGCAAUAAUUUCAAAGGUGAUACUGUUAACUAUAGGGCCCACAAAAACACACACUAAUGUACACACAAAUUUAUAUAUUGGUCGAUCUUUAUUGACCAGAAAUUUACAAUGGAUACAAAGAUAUAUGAUUCGCAAAACAUGUUACAAUAAGUUAACAUAUCAUUUGUAUAAAAUUAAUUGUACAUUUAAUCUUCUAAAAUCAUAGCUAUGAGGCAACACCCUAUCCAAAAUCAAAUUAAUUUAUUAGAGCAUUUGGUAAAAGCAAUAUCAUUUAUCUAUAAUUAUCUAUUAUUAUUUAUAAACCUAACCAUCGUGGACUUAAUUACGUGAGAUUCUGGUGAUCUGAAAUUAAACAUUUUCUUAAAACACAGAAUUACAAAUGAACAAGUGAACAAGUAUAAUCAUGGGUCUGAGUAUAAUGACAUGCAAGAGUUUAUUUUUAAUCUAGUUUUUGUUUGUGUCAUUAUUGAAGGUUUUUUGACCGUUGAUUGUUAGCAGUAUCAUUUUUUUUUUUUACUGCACGUGUAGCUAUUGCACCUUCUCUCACACGCAAGUCGGUGGGCGAUACAAUAUGUAAAUCGUUAACUUACAAAAAAAAAAAAAGGAGAAAAAAACAAAGGGA